AACCCGUACGAAAGGCGGGCUAGCAUCAGAUGAUAUAUAAUCACGACAUCGUGGAAAUAUCAAAUCUUCGGAGCCUUGGGAUGAGCCUGCGUCUGAUUAGGUAGUUGGCGGAGUAAUAGCCCACCAAGCCUACGAUCAGUAGCUGGUCUGAGAGGAUGAUCAGCCACACUGGAACUGAGACACGGUCCAGACUCCUACGGGAGGCAGCAGUAAGGAAUAUUGCUCAAUGGGGGGAAACCCUGAAGCAGCAACGCCGCGUGAAGGAUGAAAUACUUUGUAUGUAAACUUCUGUAAGAUGGGAAAAAUAUUCUCCUCGGGAGAAUUGAUUGUACCAUCAGAGUAAGCCCCGGCUAACUACGUG
rnacentral:rRNA from 1 species